rnacentral:rRNA from 1 species
GGAGGAUCCAAGCGUUAUCCGGAAUCAUUGGGUUUAAAGGGUCCGUAGGCGGUUUAGUAAGUCAGUGGUGAAAGCCCAUCGCUCAACGGUGGAACGGCCAUUGAUACUGCUAAACUUGAAUUAUUAGGAAGUAACUAGAAUAUGUAGUGUAGCGGUGAAAUGCUUAGAGAUUACAUGGAAUACCAAUUGCGAAGGCAGGUUACUACUAAUGGAUUGACGCUGAUGGACGAAAGCGUGGGUAGCGAACAGGAUUAGAUACCCUGGUAGUCCACGCCGUAAACGAUGGAUACUAGCUGUUGGGAGCAAUCUCAGUGGCUAAGCGAAAGUGAUAAGUAUCCCACCUGGGGAGUACGUUCGCAAGAAUG